UACGUAGGGUGCGAGCGUUGCCCGGAUUUAUUGGGCGUAAAGGGUGCGUAGGCGGCCACGCACGUCCGUUGUGAAAUCGCCCGGCUCAACUGGGCGGGGUCAGCGGAUACGGUGUGGCUCGAGCAAGCUAGGGGGCAAUGGAAUUCCCGGUGUAGUGGUGGAAUGCGUAGAUAUUGGGAGGAACACCAGUGGCGAAGGCGGUUGCCUGGAGCUUUGCUGACGCUGAUGCGCGAAAGCGUGGGGAGCGAUCCGG
rnacentral:rRNA from 1 species